rnacentral:lncRNA from 1 species
UAAUUUUUAAUCAAGGAAGAUAAUUGUAAAAACUCGAAAAUUAUGCAGAAAGAAUUUCGAUAUCCUUCUAAUUGUAAAAGAAAUUGCUUCUUGGAGGAAGACGAUUGGUGAAAUUCGAAAGCACAAUAAACGAAGGGAGUUACGAUAGUCUUUGAUGAUUCUAUAAAAUUAUAGAGUAAGUUUUAAAUUAUAUUUCCGAGCAUUCAGUGCGAGAUUGUAAAUUGAAAAUAAUUACGAAAUUACUUUUAUUAUUUUGUAAGAAAGUACGGCGUGCGGGAUGAUACCGAUGACAAAUGUUCGAGAGUGGAAUGUGAUUGUUAAGACUACUACCUGCUCAUCAAUACAUAUAUGUAUAAAUACGUAUUUUCCGCACGCUGUUCAAUCGAAUCAAAAUUAAUGAUAAAGUCAACAUCUAUCGAUAUGUAACUUUUAAUUAAUAAUUUUGUGUAUUUAAAUUUAUUAAGAUCAUCAUUCGUAUCAUUCAGAUAUUCCCAUUUUAUAUUAAAAUUAUGAUGGAAUAAUCAAGUACCUACACCCUAUAUGAUUAAGUAGAAUUUAAUUAUAAAACGUUUUAGACUAAAGAUCUCUAUUUAUUUAUAAAUCAACCGUUAGUAUUCCAGGUUGUAGCUUUUCGUACACGAUUCGAAUUUUCAAUUGGUUAUUUCCUUCUCACGAUUCUUUCAUCUUUCGUUGCCAAGAUUUCGCCAUGAUUCGCGCGCGAAACGAGUAAAAGAACCGAUAUGUAAAAUCGAUAUAACGGGAACAGAGUUUCGCAAAGUAUAAAUCGUGAAAAUUUUGAAAGACAACCUUGUUGAUUUUGGCGUCGAUUUAAUUUAGUUAGUUUAUCAUAAGUUAAACAUUUUUGCAUUAUAAACGUCUGAUCAAUGCGAACGAAGAUCGAACUAUUCCAGAGAAGAGCGAUUGUCUCGAGAUAUUAUUGUUCAAUUUUUUCUUUUUCUUUUUCUUUUCUUUUUUUUUUUCAUAUUUUACGUAAACGGGAGUAUACGUCAUUGAACAUUCACCAUUGAUCUUGGUGGCCUCUUUUUCUUGGAAUUAUCGUGGUCGAAUUAUUUUUUUCAGUUAUAAUUUUUUUUUCAGUUAUAAAUGAUACAUUACGAUCGAUUCCAGAUUGGAUGAUUAAUAUAUGUCAGUUCGAAGUUGAUGUAAACUUUCGUACAUACAUGAAACGUACACAGUAACCGUCACUUGUUGAACCAAUCAUCGAUAAGUUUAAUAACGAUCAAAGACCUUAUGCCUUUUUUUUUAUUUUUCGUUCGUCGAAAGGUUUCAAUCUACUCGGGGAAUUUAUGUUCCCCGAUCAAUAUUAAAUGCCAUGCACAUUUCUAACUAUUGCAUAUUCACGAGAAAAAUAAAAAAGAUAAUAAAAUAGUGUAAUGUAGUUCGUAGUUACGAGUACCUGAGUACGGGUAUCAUCAAUCAAUUUAUUGAUAAAUGCUCGAUCGAUGAAAGAGUAUCCUCUACAUAUAUAGGACACGUUUAGAUCUUUUUAUUAUCUAACUUUGCCAUUUGUAACUGUAUAAGAAACUCUGAUCUUUGGUAUAUUAUCAGUGUUAUUUUUACCACCAUUAUUGGUUUUUAA